rnacentral:tRNA from 1 species
GGGGCAUUAGCUCAGCUGGGAGAGCGCAUGACUGGCAGUCAUGAGGUCAGCGGUUCGAACCCGCUAUGCUCCACCA